rnacentral:tRNA from 1 species
AGGGGCAUAGCUCAAGUGGUAGAGUGCUUGCCUACUAAGCACAAGAUCCUGAAUUCAAUCUCCAGUGUCUCCC